rnacentral:rRNA from 1 species
GACGUAGGGCGCGAGCGUUGUCCGGAUUUAUUGGGCGUAAAGAGCUCGUAGGCGGCUUGUCGCGUCGGCUGUGAAAACCCGUGGCUCAACUGUGGGCGGGCAGCUGAUACGGGCAGGCUGGAGUUCGGUAGGGGAGACUGGAAUUCCUGGUGUAGCGGUGAAAUGCGCAGAUAUCAGGAAGAACACCCGUGGCGAAGGCGGCUCUCUGGUACGUGACUGACGCUGAGACGCGAAAGCGUGGGGAGCGAACAGG